rnacentral:snoRNA from 1 species
AUGAUGACACGGGGCUUCCUCGACGCCUCCCGCAGACGGGUGGUGUAUGAAGAAAGGUAGAGACGCUGA